ensembl:misc_RNA Metazoa_SRP Metazoan signal recognition particle RNA
GCCUGGCGCAGCAGGGCGUGCCUGUAGUCCCAGCUACUUGGGAGGCUGAGGUGGGAGGAUCGCUUGAGCCCAAGGGUUCUGGGCUGUAGUGCGCUAUGCCGAUUGAGUGUCCACACUAAGUUCGGUAUUAAUAUGGUGACCUCCUAGGAGCGGGGAACCACCAGGUUGCCUAAGGAGGAGUGAACCAGCCCAGGUUGGAAACAGAGCAGGUCAAAACUCUGGUGCUGAUCAGUAGUGGGAUUGUGCCUGUGAAUAGCCACUGCACUCCAGUCUGGGCAACAUAGCGGGACCCCAUCUCUA